rnacentral:tRNA from 1 species
GCCUAGGUAGCGCAGUAGGUAGCGCGUCAGUCUCAUAAUCACGUGCAAUCUGAAGGUCGUGAGUUCGAUCCUCACCCUGGGCA